UUAUUGGUAACCAUCUGGUUUGUACUUUCUAAGUCAGGUCAGGCUUUGAGCAUCAGUCAUUUGGUAGUUUAAAAGAACAAUAACUGAAUCAAUCCAUCAUGAUUUUUACAGGAGCAAGCCGAGCCUACAGAUGUUGAUGAAGACAGUGAACAUGACAUUUGUGAGGGACAUGAAACAACCAUGGACAAUUUGGGGGAACGAGAGAUCUGCCCUAUAUGCCAGGGGAACUUCUUAAAGUCAGUGCUCCCUUAUCAUGCCAGUGAAUGCUGUGACAGAGCAUUCAACAGUGAAGCAGUGUUGGAGGUAGUCCCGGACCUUCCAGGGCCAUCAUCUGUAACUCCUGUACCUUAUUCACCAGCAGAAACUGAAAUGUGGAAAGAGGUGAACAAUCCACAAAAGGCAGUACAGCUGUUCCUCAAACAACUGAAA